rnacentral:ncRNA from 2 species
UCAUGCUGCUGGGGGUGUCCGGCACGCGACCUGAGACUACAACCGCGGUGCCCGUCGCUCGUGAGACCGGCAUGCUGCGGGUCAUGAUGCAGGUCGGCGACGGGCUGAGAAAGACCCUUCGAACCUGAUCCGGAUCAUGCCGGCGCAGGAAAGCAGGCGACGAGGUCG